rnacentral:rRNA from 1 species
AUUGAACGCUGGCGGCAUGCCUAACACAUGCAAGUCGAGCGGAGCGGCGGACGGGAGAGUAAUGCCUAGGAAUCUGCCUGGUAGUGGGGGAAAACGUCCGGAAAAGGGCGCUAAUACCGCAUACUAUCAGAUGAGCCUAGGUCGGUUUGGCUAGUUGGGGGGGUAAAGGCCUACCAGGGCGACGAUCCGUACCUGGGCCGAGAGGUGGAUCAGUCACACUGGAACGGAGACACGGUCCAGACUCCUACGGGAGGCAGCAGUGGGGAAUAUUGGACAAUGGGCGAAAGCCUUAUCCAGCCAGGCCGCGUGUGUGAAGAAGGUCUUCGGAUUGUAAAGCACUUUAAGUUGGGAGGCGUUACCGACAGAAUAAGCACCGGCUAACUUCGUGCCAGCAGCCGCGGUAAUAC